CCUGUCAACACUGGGUAAGGAAGAGAAACAUUUGCUAUGACACGGAGAAACCAAAGACGGUGAUGGCAUGCAAAUACUGCUAGACGCCACUGAGCGGUUGUCCUCUAGAGAGCCAUUCUGGACAAUAGGGACCUGCAGUGUCUCAGGUAUCUGCUGUGUCUCAGGACUACAUUGGUUACAUUGACCUCUGAUAAAGAUCUGGCUCAGUGGAUGUGGUCUCUCCCAUCCUCCCUCCCUGCCUGUCAGCCUAGCAGAGAGCAGUCUGGCAACACGUGCUGAGACACUGAAAUUGUUCAGAGUGACCGCUGGGAUGAAGUGAUGUACUGUGGCUGUUAUAACUUUUUAUUCAACCUUUAACCAGGCCUUUUGUUAGAUGUCUCUGGGUGCUUUAGUCCAGGCUUUUCCAUACCACUGCCUCUCUACUGCUGAUGGAAGGGAUUGGUCAUGUUCAUUUAUACAACAGAUCACUCUUCGGUUAAUAUCUCUCCUCACCAUGAUGACCUACAAUGCGUACUGUAGGACAAGCACCAACAAUCCAUCCACUCUGAGUGAUACAAAAGCAGCAGGGGACUGAGAGGCACCCGAUCCUGCCCUGAAUAGGUUGUCUUCAGGUAUUUAUACUGACCCUCUGACCACUACCUGCUCUGCUCUGCUUGGUCAAAUCCGAAAUGAUGUCUGGAAUGUAUCUUCUGAGAAUAUCAAUAAAUAAGAAGCCAGCUGUAAUGUAUAGUGUAACCUGUACUUCAAAUAGGAGUUGUUUCCUCAAAACUGUCUCUAUAUAUUUUUCUUCCGAUAUGACUGUUCAUAUCUAAGACAUUCUUUUGUGUAUUGGAAAGAGGUGUGUAGAAUUAAGAGGUGUAGGAGGAAGGUGUGUAUAGGAGAGAAGUGUGCAGCCUAUAGAGACAGAGGUAUAGGAGAGACAUAGCUGGGCCUGGCUACUGCGGAGCCAGGCCCAGCCAAUCAGAAUUAGUUUUAACCCAACAAAAGGGCUUUAUUACAAACAUAAAUGCUCCUCAGUUUCAUCAGCUGUCGGGUGGCUGGUCUCAGACAACCCCGCAUGUGAAGAAGCUGGAUGUGGAGGUCCUGGGCAGGCUUGGUUACAGGUGGUCUGCGGUUGUGAGGCCGGUUGGACGUACUGCUAAAUUCUCUAAAACGACAUUGGAGGCCACUUAAGGUAGAGAAAUUGACAUUCAAUUCUCUGGUUUCAAGUUUCAAGAGAGUUUCAAGUUCCUUGAUGUCCACAUCACCAACGAUAUAUCAUGGUCCAAACACACUAAGACAUUCGAGAAGAGGGCACAACAAAACCUUUUCCCCCUCAGGAAACUGAAAAGAUUAGGCAUGGGUCCCCAGAUCCUCAAAAGGUUCUACAGCUGCACCAUCGAGCACAUCCUGACAGGUUACAGGUCAUCCUGGUAUGGCAACUGUUCGGCAUCUGACCGUAAGACGCUAUAGUGGGUAGUGCGUACGGCCCAGUACAUCACUGGGGCCAAGCUUCCUGCAAUCCAGGACCUGUAUAAUAAGCGGUCAGAGGAAAACCCAUAAGAUUGUCAGAGACUCCAGUCACCCAAGUCAUAGACUGUUUUCUCUACUACCGCACAGCAAGGAGUACCGGAGUGCCAAGUCUAGGACCAAAAGGCUCCUUAACAGCUUCUACCCCCAAGCCAUAAGACUACUGAACAAUUAAUCAAAUGGCCACCAGACUAUUACAUUGAACCCCCCCCGCCCAUUUUUUUUUUAUACCCUGCUGCUACUCGCUGUUUAUUAUCUAUGCAUAGUCACUUCACUCCUACCUACAUGUACAAAUUACCUCUAACCUGUUAUUGUUACUUUUUAUAAUUUUUUACUUUAGUUAAUUUGGUAAAUAUUUUCUUAACUCUUCUUGAACUGCACUGUUGGUUAAGGGUUUGUAAGUAAGCAAUUCAUGGUAAAGUCUACACUUGUUGUAUUCGGCGUAUGUGACAAAUAAAGUUUCAUUUGAUUUGAUUUGGUGGACAUUCCUGCAGUCAGAAUGCCAAUUGCACACUCCCUCAAAACUUGAGACAUCUGUGGCAUUGUGUUGUGUGACAAACCUAUACAUUUUAGUGUAUUUUUAUUGUCCUCGACACAAGGUUCAUCUGUGUAAUGACCAUGCUGUUUAAUCAGCUUCUUGAUAUACCACACCUGUCAGGUGGAUGGAUUAUUUUGGCAAAGGAGAAAUGCUCUCCUACAGGGAUGUAAACAAAUUUGUGCAUUUUUGAGAAAUAAGCUUUUUGUGCAUAUGGAACAUUUCUGGGAUCUUUUAUUUCAGCUUAUAAAACAUGGAACCAAUACUUUUUUUUCAGUAUUUAUGACUUCCGAUAUUAAUAAUUGGGAAAUUCAUUGAAAAUAUUGGUAAAAAUGAUUUGAAUAGGCUCAUCUCAGCACUGUGAAUUUGUAAGGGAAAACCUGGCCAUGCAUUCAAAUUUAUAAAAGGUAGCCUACUGUAUAUAAGGUAUCCUUUUCCGUUUUUUACUAUGCAUAAUUAUCAUACCAAAUUAGAAAUAUUGUAAGAAAAAGUGCAAGUUCUUUUUAACUUGAUAUAUUUUCACUUAUAAAUUAAAAUGAAAAGAAAAACAAAAAUUGUUGUCUGACACCUAGU
ensembl:lncRNA